CCCCGUACACAAAAAUGCACAUACUGUGAGCUCGAUGAGUAGGGCGGGACACGUGGUAUCCUGUCUGAAUAUGGGGGGACCAUCCUCCAAGGCUAAAUACUCCUGACUGACCGAUAGUGAACCAGUACCGUGAGGGAAAGGCGAAAAGAACCCCGGCGAGGGGAGUGAAAAAGAACCUGAAACCGUGUACGUACAAGCAGUGGGAGCCUCUUUAUGGGGUGACUGCGUACCUUUUGUAUAAUGGGUCAGCGACUUAUAUUCUGUAGCAAGGUUAACCGAAUAGGGGAGCCGAAGGGAAACCGAGUCUUAACUGGGCGUUAAGUUGCAGGGUAUAGACCCGAAACCCGGUGAUCUAGCCAUGGGCAGGUUGAAGGUUGGGUAACACUAACUGGAGGACCGAACCGACUAAUGUUGAAAAAUUAGCGGAUGACUUGUGGCUGGGGGUGAAAGGCCAAUCAAACCGGGAGAUAGCUGGUUCUCCCCGAAAGCUAUUUAGGUAGCGCCUCGUGAAUUCAUCUCCGGGGGUAGAGCACUGUUUCGGCAAGGGGGUCAUCCCGACUUACCAACCCGAUGCAAACUGCGAAUACCGGAGAAUGUUAUCACGGGAGACACACGGCGGGUGCUAACGUCCGUCGUGAAGAGGGAAACAACCCAGACCGCCAGCUAAGGUCCCAAAGUCAUGGUUAAGUGGGAAACGAUGUGGGAAGGCCCAGACAGCCAGGAUGUUGGCUUAGAAGCAGCCAUCAUUUAAAGAAAGCGUAAUAGCUCACUGGUCGAGUCGGCCUGCGCGGAAGAUGUAACGGGGCUAAACCAUGCACCGAAGCUGCGGCAGCGACGCUUAUGCGUUGUUGGGUAGGGGAGCGUUCUGUAAGCCUGCGAAGGUGUGCUGUGAGGCAUGCUGGAGGUAUCAGAAGUGCGAAUGCUGACAUAAGUAACGAUAAAGCGGGUGAAAAGCCCGCUCGCCGGAAGACCAAGGGUUCCUGUCCAACGUUAAUCGGGGCAGGGUGAGUCGACCCCUAAGGCGAGGCCGAAAGGCGUAGUCGAUGGGAAACAGGUUAAUAUUCCUGUACUUGGUGUUACUGCGAAGGGGGGACGGAGAAGGCUAUGUUGGCCGGGCGACGGUUGUCCCGGUUUAAGCGUGUAGGCUGGUUUUCCAGGCAAAUCCGGAAAAUCAAGGCUGAGGCGUGAUGACGAGGCACUACGGUGCUGAAGCAACAAAUGCCCUGCUUCCAGGAAAAGCCUCUAAGCAUCAGGUAACAUCAAAUCGUACCCCAAACCGACACAGGUGGUCAGGUAGAGAAUACCAAGGCGCUUGAGAGAACUCGGGUGAAGGAACUAGGCAAAAUGGUGCCGUAACUUCGGGAGAAGGCACGCUGAUAUGUAGGUGAAGCGACUUGCUCGUGGAGCUGAAAUCAGUCGAAGAUACCAGCUGGCUGCAACUGUUUAUUAAAAACACAGCACUGUGCAAACACGAAAGUGGACGUAUACGGUGUGACGCCUGCCCGGUGCCGGAAGGUUAAUUGAUGGGGUUAGCGGUAACGCGAAGCUCUUGAUCGAAGCCCCGGUAAACGGCGGCCGUAACUAUAACGGUCCUAAGGUAGCGAAAUUCCUUGUCGGGUAAGUUCCGACCUGCACGAAUGGCGUAAUGAUGGCCAGGCUGUCUCCACCCGAGACUCAGUGAAAUUGAACUCGCUGUGAAGAUGCAGUGUACCCGCGGCAAGACGGAAAGACCCCGUGAACCUUUACUAUAGCUUGACACUGAACAUUGAGCCUUGAUGUGUAGGAUAGGUGGGAGGCUUUGAAGUGUGGACGCCAGUCUGCAUGGAGCCGGCCUUGAAAUACCACCCUUUAAUGUUUGAUGUUCUAACGUUGGCCCCUGAUCGGGGUUGCGGACAGUGUCUGGUGGGUAGUUUGACUGGGGCGGUCUCCUCCUAAAGAGUAACGGAGGAGCACGAAGGUUGGCUAAUCCUGGUCGGACAUCAGGAGGUUAGUGCAAUGGCAUAAGCCAGCUUGACUGCGAGCGUGACGGCGCGAGCAGGUGCGAAAGCAGGUCAUAGUGAUCCGGUGGUUCUGAAUGGAAGGGCCAUCGCUCAACGGAUAAAAGGUACUCCGGGGAUAACAGGCUGAUACCGCCCAAGAGUUCAUAUCGACGGCGGUGUUUGGCACCUCGAUGUCGGCUCAUCACAUCCUGGGGCUGAAGUAGGUCCCAAGGGUAUGGCUGUUCGCCAUUUAAAGUGGUACGCGAGCUGGGUUUAGAACGUCGUGAGACAGUUCGGUCCCUAUCUGCCGUGGGCGCUGGAGAACUGAGGGGGGCUGCUCCUAGUACGAGAGGACCGGAGUGGACGCAUCACUGGUGUUCGGGUUGUCAUGCCAAUGGCACUGCCCGGUAGCUAAAUGCGGAAGAGAUAAGUGCUGAAAGCAUCUAAGCACGAAACUUGCCCCGAGAUGAGUUCUCCCUGAGACUUUAAGUCUCCUGAAGGAACGUUGAAGACGACGACGUUGAUAGGCCGGGUGUGUAAGCGCAGCGAUGCGUUGAGCUAACCGGUACUAAUGAACCGUGAG
rnacentral:rRNA from 1 species